rnacentral:rRNA from 1 species
AGUGAACGCUGGCGGUAGGCCUAACACAUGCAAGUCGAACGGCAGCACAGUAAGAGCUUGCUCUUACGGGUGGCGAGUGGCGGACGGGUGAGGAAUACAUCGGAAUCUACUUUUUCGUGGGGGAUAACGUAGGGAAACUUACGCUAAUACCGCAUACGACCUACGGGUGAAAGCAGGGGAUCUUCGGACCUUGCGCGAUUGAAUGAGCCGAUGUCGGAUUAGCUAGUUGGCGGGGUAAAGGCCCACCAAGGCGACGAUCCGUAGCUGGUCUGAGAGGAUGAUCAGCCACACUGGAACUGAGACACGGUCCAGACCCCUACGGGAGGCAGCAGUGGGGAAUAUUGGACAAUGGGCGCAAGCCUGAUCCAGCCAUAUCGCGUGGGUGAAGAAGGCCUUCGGGUUGUAAAGCCCUUUUGUUGGGAAAGAAAAGCAGCAGGUUAAUACCCCGCUGUUCUGACGGUACCCAAAGAAUAAGCACCGGCUAACUUCGUG